rnacentral:rRNA from 1 species
UACGAAGGGGGCUAGCGUUGUUCGGAAUCACUGGGCGUAAAGCGCACGUAGGCGGAUCUUUAAGUCAGGGGUGAAAUCCCGAGGCUCAACCUCGGAACUGCCUUUGAUACUGGGGAUCUCGAGUCCGGGAGAGGUGAGUGGAACUGCGAGUGUAGAGGUGAAAUUCGUAGAUAUUCGCAAGAACACCAGUGGCGAAGGCGGCUCACUGGCCCGGUACUGACGCUGAGGUGCGAAAGCGUGGGGAGCAACAGGG